CACUAAUAGUCUAAUGUGUUGAAUGUGCUGAGACACAUUCAACACAUUAGAAACCAAUCAGAACCAAAAGUUUGCCUUUUGGUUCUGAUUGGUGGUUUCUGGACAGUAGCAGAGCCAGAUGCAUUUUCACAGAUUCUCUGUUUCAUAUUCUACUGUCAGACACUUUUAACAAAUAUUCAUUCAUCCAUCAUCUAACACACUUAUCCAUGCGCACACACAUUCACACCUUAGGACAAUAUAGAGAGAUCAAUUAAUUAAUUAAUUUUUGAUAAAU